rnacentral:rRNA from 1 species
AACGAACGCUGGCGGCAGGCCUAACACAUGCAAGUCGAGCGCCCAGCAAUGGGAGCGGCGGACGGGUGAGUAACACGUGGGAACAUGCCCUUCGGUACGGAAUAACCCAGGGAAACUUGGGCUAAUACCGUAUACGUCCUCAGGGAGAAAGAUUUAUCGCCGAAGGAUUGGCCCGCGUCCGAUUAGCUAGUUGGUGAGGUAACGGCUCACCAAGGCUGCGAUCGGUAGCUGGUUUGAGAGAACGAUCAGCCACACUGGGACUGAGACACGGCCCAGACUCCUACGGGAGGCAGCAGUGGGGAAUCUUGGACAAUGGGGGAAACCCUGAUCCAGCCAUGCCGCGUGAGUGAUGAAGGCCUUCGGGUUGUAAAACUCUUUCGCGCGCGACGAUAAUGACGGUAGCGCGAGAAGAAGCUCCGGCUAACUUCGUGCCAGCCGCCGCGGUAACAC